AACGAACGCUGGCGGCAGGCCUAACACAUGCAAGUCGAGCGGUAGAGAGGUGCUUGCAUCUCUUGAGAGCGGCGGACGGGUGAGUAAUGCCUAGGAAUCUGCCUAGUGUGGGGGAUAACGUUCGGAAACGGACGCUAAUACCGCAUACGUCCUACGGGAGAAAGCGGGGGAUCUUCGGACCUCGCGCCAUUAGAUGAGCCUAGGUCGGAUUAGCUAGUUGGUGAGGUAAUGGCUCACCAAGGCGACGAUCCGUAACUGGUCUGAGAGGAUGAUCAGUCACACUGGAACUGAGACACGGUCCAGACUCCUACGGGAGGCAGCAGUGGGGGAAUUUUGGACAAUGGGCGCAAGCCUGAUCCAGCAAUGCCGCGUGCAGGAUGAAGGCCUCGGUUGUAA
rnacentral:rRNA from 1 species